rnacentral:piRNA from 1 species
UCAGUGUCAAAACGGCAGGUGGAGGGUGGU